UUGAACGCUGGCGGCAUGCCUUACACAUGCAAGUCGAACGGUAGAGGGGCAACCCUUGAGAGUGGCGAACGGGUGAGUAAUAUAUCGGAACGUGCCCAGUCGUGGGGGAUAACGCAGCGAAAGCUGCGCUAAUACCGCAUACGAUCUAUGGAUGAAAGCGGGGGAUCGCAAGACCUCGCGCGAUUGGAGCGGCCGAUAUCAGAUUAGGUAGUUGGUGGGUAAAAGCCCACCAAGCCGACGAUCUGUAGCUG
rnacentral:rRNA from 1 species